rnacentral:rRNA from 1 species
AACGUAGGAGACAAACGUUAUCCGGAGUUACUGGGCGUAAAGGGCGCGUAGGUGGUUUGAUAAGGGUGUGGUGAAAGUCCGGAGCUCAACUCCGGAUCUGCCGUGCCGACUGUCAAACUCGAGGGCUGUAGAGGCAGACGGAAUUCCGGGUGUAGCGGUGGAAUGCGUAGAGAUCCGGAGGAAGACCGGUGGCGAAGGCGGUCUGCUGGGCAGUUUCUGACACUGAGGCGCGACAGCGUGGGGAGCAAACAGG